GUUAUAUACUGUUGAUAUGAACAGCCUUUUGGCUAUUUCUUCUGUGAAUGGGUUGUGACAGGCUUGCAAAGUGCCACAUGGCUGAAGAAUGGUCACCUUCCUGGGCAGUUGCAGUUUGUGGAGGUCACAUGCUAUCAAGAAGGCAGGUGUCCUGCAGCCCGCUACUAUGGAUGGAGGACCUUGGGGGUGGCUGUCCAUGCAGCCUGCUGGCAAGUCUCUGUUAUUCUUUAAUCAUUGAUUCAGGUAAAAUCUUAUCCUUCUCAAGAACUCUGAUGCUUUUGACGACUGGUAGUCUUGCCAGCUUAAAGCAAAACAGAUUCCAGUAACAGGUAUUUUAGGGUUUAUCUAUGUAAAGAUAGGAAAGUCUAAGAUGUAUAAAAGUCUGAAAUUGUAGUUACGAAGGCCUGAGGAUAAAAGGGCUUAAAUGAUGAUAAAAUGAGUUGAGACAUUAAAAAAAAAUGAAAUAUGUUCUGGAUUUCUCUAUUUCUCAUGCUACUGUUCAUAGUCAGUUCUACAAUACCACUAUAGGAUCAUAACUACAAGGUCAAGAUUAAGAUGCUUUUCAUUGUCAAAAAAAAAAAUCUGUGUUUUAAAAUGGUAAUACUUUCAGCCAAGUUGCUUCUAACGUGAUUAUGCUACUGAUGUGUCUAAUACUUAUGUUUCCACAAACUCUAAGGAUUCUUGUAAGUUCCAGGGAGCCGAAUCAGAUCCAAACAGGUCAGAUUCACUCCAGGUAAUAUUCAACCUUUCCCCAGUCCCAAAUUCCCUUCACUCAUCUUGGGGCUCCUCGGGAACCCCUCCCUCAUCUUAUAAUCUUCCCCUCAAGUGACAGGACCUAAGAAAAAAAAUUUUUUUCCUAAACUUAACCUUGUCCUCUGCUCUGUCAACAUCUUGCCAGGUCUAAGAGGUGCCAGGGAGUUCCAUACAGCCUGGACUACAAUGAAACAACCAGCUUCCCCAGGACGUGGCAGCACCCCAACCUUCUCCGCCCCCACAUCAGCAGGAAGCAGUCUUAAGAAUUCGACGCCCUUAUUCCUUAAUCUGCCAUGUCUAAACACCCCACCUUUUUUAAAUAAUAAGUAGAGGUGGGAAUGAAAGGUUCAGGCAUUAUGCUGGCUUGCCCCUGUUACCUGGUGAAAUCCACUCAGGCAGAACCCUGGUCAGCCCAAGGUUCCAUUGGAACUAAGUCUGCACGCAGGUGCAGAGGACCCCUUUAAAAGAUAGGCCCCUGCCCAUUUAUGCUCUCUCUCUCUCUCUGUUCCCGCUCUCUGUUUCCCCACUCUACUCUCCCACCUAUGCUCUCGCUCUGUCUCUCUAUGGCGACCAGCCAUGGUGGUCAGCCAUUACCCUGUUCCUCUUCUUAGUCUCCCCAUUCUGAU
rnacentral:lncRNA from 1 species